GAUGAACGCUGGCGGCGUGCCUAAUACAUGCAAGUCGAGCGAACAGACGAGGAGCUUGCUCCUUUGACGUUAGCGGCGGACGGGUGAGUAACACGUAGGUAACCUACCUAUAAGACUGGGAUAACUUCGGGAAACCGGAGCUAAUACCGGAUAAUAUUUCGAACCGCAUGGUUCGAUAGUGAAAGAUGGCUUUGCUAUCACUUAUAGAUGGACCUGCGCCGUAUUAGCUAGUUGGUAAGGUAACGGCUUACCAAGGCAACGAUACGUAGCCGACCUGAGAGGGUGAUCCGCCAAACUGGAAAUGAGAAAAGGGCCAGACUCCUAAGGGAGGCAGGAGUAGGGAAACUUCCGCAAAGGGCGAAAGGCUGACGGAGCAACGGCGCGUGAGUGAUGAAGGGCUUCGGAUCGUAAAACUCUGUUAUUAGGGAAGAACAAACGUGUAAGUAACUGUGCACGUCUUGACGGUACCUAAUCAGAAAGCCACGGCUAACUACGUG
rnacentral:rRNA from 1 species